rnacentral:lncRNA from 1 species
CCUUGUCCCACAGAUAAGGGCAUGGGCAGCCCCUGUCUUGGCUUGUGCCUUUUUCUCUGCCUCUGACUGGAAGCAACAGGCAGGAGAUUGGGGGAGGAAGCCCUGCAGACGUUUCUCGCCUGGCUGCCGGUAAAUCCCGAC